CCUACGGGAGGCAGCAGUGAGGAAUAUUGGUCAAUGGACGCGAGCCUGAACCAGCCAAGCAGCGUGAAGGAAGACGGCCCUACGGGUUGUAAACUUCUUUUGUAAGAGAAUAAAGGCAGGUACGCGUGCCUGUCUGAAUGUACUUUACGAAUAAGGAUCGGCUAACUCCGUGCCAGCAGCCGCGGUAAUACGGAGGAUCCGAGCGUUAUCCGGAUUUAUUGGGUUUAAAGGGUGCGUAGGCGGUCUGUUAAGUCAGUUGUGAAAGUUCGCGGCUCAACCGCAGAAUUGCCUUUGAUACUGGCAGGCUAGAGUACAGUUGAGGUAGGCGGAAUGCGUGGUGUAGCGGUGAAAUGCUUAGAGAUCAUGCAGAACUCCGAUUGCGAAGGCAGCUUACCAAGCUACCACUGACGUUGAGGCACGAAAGCGUGGGUAGCAAACAGGAUUAGAUACCCGAGUAGUC
rnacentral:rRNA from 1 species